UUAUAGUGUUCUUCUUAGGUUUUUGAACUUUGGGUUCUUUUUUUUUAGGGUUUUUUUUUAUUGGGAGUUUUGGUUAACACGUGUAUGGUAAGGGUUUUAGGAUUUUGGGGGGAUAGGUACGGAUUCUCGCUAGGUGCAACAAAAGGGUUGGCCUGAGAUUGGACUUCAAAGUUCAAAUUGUCAUAUGAUCCGAAGACAAUGGUGUGUGUGUGACC
rnacentral:lncRNA from 1 species